rnacentral:rRNA from 1 species
UUGAACGCUGGCGGCAGGCCUAACACAUGCAAGUCGAACGGUAACAGGAAACAGCUUGCUGUUUCGCUGACGAGUGGCGGACGGGUGAGUAAUGUCUGGGAAACUGCCUGAUGGAGGGGGAUAACUACUGGAAACGGUAGCUAAUACCGCAUAACGUCGCAAGACCAAAGAGGGGGACCUUCGGGCCUCUUGCCAUCGGAUGUGCCCAGAUGGGAUUAGCUUGUUGGUGGGGUAACGGCUCACCAAGGCGACGAUCCCUAGCUGGUCUGAGAGGAUGACCAGCCACACUGGAACUGAGACACGGUCAGACUCCUACGGGAGGCAGCAGUGGGGAAUAUUGCACAAUGGGCGCAAGCCUGAUGCAGCCAUGCCGCGUGUAUGAAGAAGGCCUUCGGGUUGUAAAGUACUUUCAGCGGGGAGGAAGGGAGUAAAGUUAAUACCUUUGCUCAUUGACGUUACCCGCAGAAGAAGCACCGGCUAACUCCGUGCCAGCAGCCGCGGUAAUACGGAGGGUGCAAGCGUUAAUCGGAAUUACUGGGCGUAAAGCGCACGCAGGCGGUUUGUUAAGUCAGAUGUGAAAUCCCCAGGCUCAACCUGGGAACUGCAUCUGAUACUGGCAAGCUUGAGUCUCGUAGAGGGGGGUAGAAUUCCAGGUGUAGCGGUGAAAUGCGUAGAGAUCUGGAGGAAUACCGGUGGCGAAGGCGGCCCCCUGGACGAAGACUGACGCUCAGGUGCGAAAGCGUGGGGAGCAAACAGGAUUAGAUACCCUGGUAGUCCACGCCGUAAACGAUGUCGACUUGGAGGUUGUGCCCUUGAGGCGUGGCUUCCGGAGCUAACGCGUUAAGUCGACCGCCUGGGGAGUACGGCCGCAAGGUUAAAACUCAAAUGAAUUGACGGGGGCCCGCACAAGCGGUGGAGCAUGUGGUUUAAUUCGAUGCAACGCGAAGAACCUUACCUGGUCUUGACAUCCACGGAAGUUUUCAGAGAUGAGAAUGUGCCUUCGGGAACCGUGAGACAGGUGCUGCAUGGCUGUCGUCAGCUCGUGUUGUGAAAUGUUGGGUUAAGUCCCGCAACGAGCGCAACCCUUAUCCUUUGUUGCCAGCGGUCCGGCCGGGAACUCAAAGGAGACUGCCAGUGAUAAACUGGAGGAAGGUGGGGAUGACGUCAAGUCAUCAUGGCCCUUACGACCAGGGCUACACACGUGCUACAAUGGCGCAUACAAAGAGAAGCGACCUCGCGAGAGCAAGCGGACCUCAUAAAGUGCGUCGUAGUCCGGAUUGGAGUCUGCAACUCGACUCCAUGAAGUCGGAAUCGCUAGUAAUCGUGGAUCAGAAUGCCACGGUGAAUACGUUCCCGGGCCUUGUACACACCGCCCGUCACACCAUGGGAGUGGGUUGCAAAAGAAGUAGGUAGCUUAACCUUCGGGAGGGCGCUUACCACUUUGUGAUUCAUGACUGGGGUG